CAUGAAUAUCUUUUCACAAUACAGUUACAUUAGGAAUAUAUAUUUUGAAUGUGCUACGGCACGUUGCGAAGCUGGAAGCCUGCGAAGUACCUCGUCUUCAACUUGCCUUCAAAGAGCCGCCUUGCUACCUGACUUGCAGUUACUGCGACAAGGAAGUGGCACGCAUAUGCAGACUGAGAAAAGUGGCCCCGAGUCCUUUCCCCCGUAUGUAGCUCGAGCCAGACCUCCAUCGGUGCACAGAUGCAGCUACUGCCCAUACACGGGUGUUCCCAGCAGGGUGAAGGCGCACGAAAGAAGCCACACAGGUGAAAGGCCAUUUCAGUGCGGUCUGUGCCCCUACUCUGCGGCCACCAAGCACACCCUGGGUGUCCACAUGAGGAGUCACACCGGCGAGAAGCCAUACAAGUGCACGUACUGCAGCUACUCAACUGGAGUGCGCAGCACGCUGGUAGUGCACGAACGAAAGCACACCGGCGAGAAGCCCUAUAGGUGUCGCCACUGCAGUUACAGGACGGGAAUACACGCGUCCAUCGUGGUCCACGAGAGAACGCACUCGGGGCACAAACCGUAUCGGUGUCAUUUCUGCAGCUAUUCGGCUGCACAGUUAAAAGCUCUCACGUUGCACGAGAGGACUCACACGGGAGAGAAGCCUUAUCGCUGCGAGUUCUGCGAUUUUUCCGCAGCAGCCAAGCAUAGCGUGAAGUCCCACAUGCUUUCCAGACACAAGAGGGAGACUGCCGAAAAAUAACAUGGAACUGGAAAUGUGUUGCGUGUAUUCACUACAGUGUUUCACAUUAAAGUGUUAGAGUGCA